AUUGAACGCUGGCGGCAGGCUUAACACAUGCAAGUCGAACGAGUGGCGGACGGGUGAGUAAUGCUUGGGAAUCUAGCUUAUGGAGGGGGAUCACUACGGGAAACUGUAGCUAAUACCGCGUACCAUAGGCUGAGCCCAAGUGGGAUUAGGGAGGUGGUGGGGUAAAGGCUCACCAAGCCGACGCUCUCUAGCUGGUCUGAGAGGAGGACCAGCCACACUGGGACUGAGACACGGCCCAGACUCCUACGGGAGGCAGCAGUGGGGAAUAUUGCGCAAUGGGGGCAACCUGACGCAGCCAUGCCGCGUGAGUGAAGAAGGCCUUCGGGUUGUAAAGUACUUUCGGUAGGGAGGCGUUAACUACAGAAGAAGCACCGGCUAACUCCGUGCCAGCAGCCGCGGUAAUUC
rnacentral:rRNA from 1 species